UACGUAGGAUGCAAGCGUUGUCCGGAAUUAUUGGGCGUAAAGAGCGUGUAGGCGGCCCGAUUAGUCUGCUGUGAAAGUCCAGGGCUCAACCCUGGAAUGCCGGUGGAUACUGUCGGGCUAGAGUCCGGAAGGGGCGAGUGGAAUUCCUGGUGUAGCGGUGAAAUGCGCAGAUAUCAGGAGGAACACCAAUGGCGAAGGCAGCUCGCUGGGACGUGACUGACGCUGAGACGCGAAAGCGUGGGGAGCAAACAGG
rnacentral:rRNA from 1 species